AGCAUUUGAAAACGGAAGGUAUCUAGUGGAUUCCUAGACGUCAGGAAGCGAAGAAGGACGCUAACAUGCGAUAAUGCACGAUGAGGAAAACGGUGAUUCGUGUAUCUCCGAAUGAGGAAACUUAUUGUUUUAUACAAUAUCCCAUUAUGAAUAUAUAGUUUUGGGAGGCGAACCCAGUGAACUGAAACAUCUAAGUAACUGGAGGAAAAGAAAUCAUAUGAAAUUUUGCCAGUAGCGGCGAGUGAAAGCAAAACAGGCUGACUCUUUUAGAAGAGUCAAUACACAGUAAUGAAUAUAAUAAUUAUUUGGAAAAAUAGACCAUAGAAUGUGAUAGUCAUGUAUUUUAAAUUUAUUAUUGUGUAUACUAAGUAGACGCCUUAAACAUGGCGUUGAAUAAAGGUGUUCCAUCAUCUAAGCCUAAAUAUUACCUGAUGAUCGAUAGUGAAAAGUACCGUGAGGGAAAGGUGAAAUAGUGUGUGAGUAACACAAUGAAAAUACAUGAAACUAGAAUACUAACAAGAAGGUACGGCAUGCAACGUCGUGUUGUAUCGUGCCUUUUGCAUAAUGAACCAACAACUUAAUCUAUGUGGUGAGCUUAAGCUUUAAUUGAAAGUGUAGGCGCAGUGAAAACGAGUCUUAAAUGGGCGUAAAUCAUAUGGAUUAGACCCGAAAACAAGCGAGCUAUUUAUGAGCAGGUUGAAAUAUUAGAUAAUAUCUAAAUGGAGGACCGAACCCGUGAGUGUUGCAAUACUCUGGGAUGACUUGUGAAUAGGAGUGAAAGGCUAAUCAAGCUUGUAUAUAGCUGGUUCUCCACGAAAAUUAUUUUAGUAAUGCGCCAUAAAUAUUUCUAAAGGGUAAAGCACUGAUUUGAAUCUGGCUCGAAAGGGUGUGGAUUCUAGAUAAACUAAGAAUAUUUAGAUAAUGAAUUAUGGUAGGCGGACUACGGGCGAGAAGGUCCGUGGUCGAGAGGUAAAAAGACCAGACUUCAAAAUAAGGUCCCAAAAUUACUAUUAAGUAAAAAGAAUGUUGUAUUUCUUAGACAAUCAAAAAGUAGGCUUGGAAGCAGCCAUCUUCUAAAGAAAGCGUAAAAGCUCAUUGAUAUAUGUUAUACAGCUUCAAAAAUGUAGAGGGAUUAAAAUAGUAUACCGAAUUUGAAGAAUCAGUUUAUACUGAUUGGUAGUGGAGCGUUCUGUAGGUCUGAGAAGAGGUAUACGUAAGUAACCUUGGAGAUAUCAGAAGUGAUUAUGUUGGUAUGAGUAACUAUAAAAUACGUGAAAAUCGUAUUCGCCGUAAGCCCAAGAUUUCCCAAUAAUAGAUUAACGUAUUGGGGUUAGUCGAUAUCUAAGAAGAGAGCGAAAGCUGUAUUCGAUGAAUAAAUAGGUUAAUAUUCCUAUACUGAUAUAUAGAAAUUUGUAGAAGAUAAGUGUAUAAAUUAUAACUAUUUUAUGCUGUUUGAUUCUAUACUGGAAAAAUCUAUAUAAUAUAAAUCGUAUCUAAACCGACACAGGUGGGCUAGCAUAGUAUGCUUAGGCGUUAAGAGAAUGAUGUUAAAGGAAUUCGGCAAAAUUCCUCUGUAACGUAUGGAUAAAGAGGCCUUUUAUAUGAGAAAUCCUAUAGAAGGGGCACACAAUAGAAGAGAGCGACUGUUUAUCAAAAACAUAGGACUCUGCAAAAUCGAAAGAUGACGUAUAGAGUCUGAGACCUGCCCGGUGCUCUAAGGUUAAAAAUGAUUGUUUAUAGCUUUUGUUAUAAGCCAGAGUAAACGGCGGCGAUAACUAUAAUCGUCCUAAGGUGAAAAGUUGCCUUUAAUGUACAAUAUGCGGGAAUAUCCUAAAGCUUUUUAGUACUUUUGAUAUGAAAAAGAAAAAAGUAAAAAUCUAAAAGAUAUAUGGACAAUCCGCAGGUAACAAUUAAUUUAGUAUAGUAAUUGGAACCUCAGAGACUUUACGUACAUUAUUUUACUAUAUAAUUUAUUAAAUUAUGAUAUCUAUUGAUUGGAUAGUAGGAUUUACUGAUAGUAGUGGAUGUUUCAGAAUUUCAGUUGAAAAAGAUUUAAACAUGAAAUAUGGAAUAAAUAUACUAACAGAAUUUUUAAUUAUUCAAGAUAUAAAAGAUAUUAAAUUAUUAAUGAAGGUAAAAAAAUUCUUCCAAUGUGGUGUUGUGAGAUGUAUAAAAAAUGAUAAAUCUAAUAUUUGUUAUUAUAAAGUUAGAUCUGUUAAACAUGCUCAUGAUAUAAUACUACCAUUUUUUGAUAAACAUAAUUUAUUAAGUAUGAAAAGUAUUGAAUAUAAAAGAUAUUCAUAUGUAGUACGUAAAUUAUAUUUACGAGAAAAUUUUAAUAAAGAUAAUUUAAUUAAAAUAUUGGAAUAUUUGAAUUGUAAAAUUAAGAUAAAGUCCGAAUCAUAAUGAAAAUUAUGAAAUAAUUUCGAGCGAAAUUCCUUGUCGCGUAAUUUGCGACCUGCAUGAAUGGUUUAACGACUUUCUUACUGUCUUUAACAUCAACUUAGUGAAAUUUAACUCUCCGUGCAAAUGCGGAGUACCCAUAGUUAGACGGACAGUCCCUAGCACCUUUACUACGAUUUUGUAUUGAUUGGGGAUUAUAUUUGCGCAGAAUAGGGAGGAGAUAAUGAUAUAAUAAUUUUGGUUAUUAUUGAAUCAACAGUGAGAUACUUCCCUUAUAUAAUCUCUGAUCUAAUUUGAUACCAUUAGCUGGUACAAAAACAGUGCAUGAGAGGUAGUUUCGCUGGGGCGGCGUUCUCCUAAAGAGUAACGGAGAAGCACAAAGGUGAGUUCAGCUUGUGUAGUAAGCAAGCGUUGAGCGCAAUAGCAUAUACUCGCCUGACUGAGAGGCUUACAAGCCGAACAGAAACGAAAGUUGGUUAUAGUGAUCCCAUGGUUCUUAAUGGUAAGGCCAUGGCACAACGGAUAAUAGGUACGCUAGGGAUAACAGGCUAAUCUCUUCUGAGAGAUCACAUCGACGAGGAGGUUUGGUACCUCAACCGGGGCUGUGUAGUAGUGAUACUACAUGAAGCAUUUGGCUAUAUGCUGGGAUAUCUGUCCUACAUACCCGACAAUAAGUAGGUUAAUGUUAUAAGUACUUAAUUAUUAUAUUAAGUGAUAAUCUUAUAAAUACAGACAAUCAGCAGGGAAGUUAGAAUUAUAAAAUUCUAACCCCUCAACGACUAUACGCCAAAAUUGUUAUAAUUAUAACAAUAUGAUAUAGUCUAAACUACAUAGAGAUAUGUAGAGCAUGUUAUUAAUUCAUAGUGGAUUUUCUGUCAAUUAUUUAAAAUAAAAAUUACAUGCAAAGCGGUGUCGGCUUAUCACAUCCUGGAGCUGCAGAAGGUUCCAAGGGUUCGUCUGUUCGCCGAUUAAAGUGAUACAUGAGCUGGGUUCAGACCGUCGUGAGACAGGUCGGUUCCUAUCUGCUAUGGGCGCGUAAAUAAUGAGGGGGUUAUUAAAUAGUAAGAAAUUGCUACCUUAUAUAGUAAUAUAUAAGGGAAAACAUGGUUUAUACGGUGAAUUCUAAGUUAUAUAUUGUUGUAGAUAAAUUUUUGAAGUUGUCCAUUCUAAAUUUUUUGUUUGAGAACUUUAUUUAUAAUAUUGAAAAUACCGUGGUAGUACAAUGUUAUUAAGCAGUGAAGAUUUAGCUUAUAUUUCUGGUUUUUUUGAUGGUAAUGGGCAUAUAGUAACGUAUUUAAAGAAAAAUAAAAAAAAAAUUAAAAUAUCAAUUACUAUUUCUUUUAGACAAUCAAAAAAUUACAAUUUUGUUCUUUAUUAUAUAAAAGAAAAAUUAAAUUCAGGAUAUAUUUCUAAUCUUAAAAAUGGAGUAACUGAGUUAAGAAUUAAUGGUCUUACUAGAAUAUUAAAAGUAUCAAAUUAUUUAAUUGAUUUUUUAAUAGUAAAGAAGAAGCAAAUUGAAAUAUUAUUAUCCUUAAUAAAUUUAUUAUUGAGUAAAUCAAUAGAUAAAAUGUCUAAACAUGAUAAAUUAUUAAUAAUUGAUAAUAUUUUAUUAAUACAAUCUUUUAAUAGUAUUACUAAACAAAUACAAAAUAGAAAUUUUCUAAUAGCAGCUUUUAACAUACCUAUUGUAACGACUCUAUAAAAUUAAUUUAUAGGAACUAUAGACUAGUAAUACUAGCCAUCUGAUAGUUAAAUGCCAUGCUCCUAUAUUGAAGUAUUAAUAUAGGAUGAAGAUAUAGUCUGUUCUCUAUGAAAAUAGAGAUAAAAAUGACGAGAGGACCUUUAAUAGCUUGUCAAUGGUGUACCGGUUGUUCUGUUAAGUGCAGUGCCGGGUAGCUAAACAAGCAGUGAUAACUACUGAAAGCAUCUAAGUAGGAAGCACUCCCCAAGAUUAUUGUUUAAUAAAGCCGUUAGAGAUUAUGACGUUGAUAGGCUGGAAGUGUAAGAUCAGCAAUGAUUUCAGCUAACCAGUACUAAUAGCUUUUUUUUUCAUAUGC
rnacentral:rRNA from 1 species